rnacentral:ncRNA from 2 species
AACUAAAUAACACAUAUGGGUUUGCAGAACAUCUGCACUAAGAGGGAAACAGGAUAAGCCUGUGCGGUCCCGCCGCCGUAUGGUACUUGAUCGCCGACAUAGCCACUGGGAAACCGGGAAGGCUGGCGGUCUUAAUGACCAAGCCGGAAGACCUGCCCGUAUGGAAUCAACUUA